rnacentral:tRNA from 7 species
GGUGGGAUGGCAGAAUGGUGAUGCAGCGGACUGCAACUCCGUAAAUGCCGGUUCGAUUCCGGCUCCUACCUCCA